rnacentral:lncRNA from 1 species
AUACAAUUAUUAUAUGAUAAGUAAGAUUCUCCUUUGUCAUAACCACAACAGUCUCUAUCUUAUACUAAGCCCUCCAAAAUUUUAAACUAGUUAUGCAAAAAACAAAUUUUGUCCCCACUUGAUGUCUCUUAAACUUAAGAAAAAAAGGGUUAAGACACAUCCCCUAAAUGAUUAUACAUUGAAUGGCACUUAUCCACUUGGUGCAAAUUUUGUGGAAGUUAUGCUAAAGAAAAUUAAUUGCCCAGCAAUUUGCUAAGUAAUCUUAAUGUAACCCUCACUUGACACUUGCUCUAGGACUCUCAGACAUAUAACAUCCCCUACCACAACAACACCAU